rnacentral:rRNA from 1 species
CAGCGCCCCAAGUGGCAAUCGCGUUUAUUGGGCCUAAAGCGUCCGUAGCCGGACUGAUAAAUCCGCUGUGAAAUGGUUGUGCUCAACGCAACCGCGUGCAGUGGAGACUGUCAGUCUCGAGACCGGGAGGAGUUAGAGGUAUGCCGUGGGGACCGGUAAAAUGGUAUAAUCCGCGGUAGACCACCAAUGGCGAAGGCAUCUAACCAGAACGGAUCUGACGGUGAGGGACGAAAGCCAGGGGAGCGAACCGGAUUAGAUACCCGAGUAGUCC